UACGUAGGGUGCAGGCGUUAAUCGGAAUUACUGGGCGUAAAGCGUGCGCAGGCGGCUCUUUAAAGUCAGAUGUGAAAGCCCCGGGCUUAACCUGGGAAUUGCGUUUGAAACUGGAGAGCUGGAGUGUGGAAGAGGGGGGUGGAAUUCCAGGUGUAGCAGUGAAAUGCGUAGAGAUCUGGAGGAACACCGAUGGCGAAGGCAGCCCCCUGGGCUAACACUGACGCUCAUGCACGAAAGCGUGGGGAGCAAACAGG
rnacentral:rRNA from 1 species